GUCUGAGAGAGUGGCCAUGGGACCAAGUGGGAGGACGACCCAAGAAUCCUAGCUUCCAGCCUACUCAACACCGAGGCCCAGCCCUGCCUUGCCCUGCACUCCCAGGGAACCAGUCACAGAGCAGGAACUUGAACCUAGGGUGAUUCUUCUGAGCUCUGCUCCUUCCCCUGCAAUGUUCCCAAAAGACAAUUUCCUUGCCUCUGGCCCUGGCUCUGUCAUUUGCCUUCUCUUGCUCCUGCAGCCCUCUUGAACCUGUCCUUUCCUUCCCACCCAUACUGCCCCUCUCAUCUCUCUGGU
rnacentral:lncRNA from 10 species